CAGCCAGACUCCUACGGGAGGCAGCAGUGAGGAAUAUUGGUCAAUGGGCGGGAGCCUGAACCAGCCAAGUCGCGUGAGGGAAGACGGUCCUACGGAUUGUAAACCUCUUUUGCCGGGGAGCAACGGGGUCCUUGCGAGGGCCCAAUGAGAGUACCCGGAGAAAAAGCAUCGGCUAACUCCGUGCCAGCAGCCGCGGUAAUACGGAGGAUGCGAGCGUUAUCCGGAUUUAUUGGGUUUAAAGGGUGCGCAGGCGGCCUGUUAAGUCGGGGGAAAAGGCGGGGGCCUCACCCCGGGCGAGCCGUUGAAACUGGCGGGCUGGAGUUGGAGAGAAGUACGCGGAAUGCGCGGUGUAGCGGUGAAAUGCAUAGAUAUCGCGCAGAACUCCGAUUGCGAAGGCAGCAUGCCGGCUCCACACUGACGCUGAGGCACGAAAGCGUGGGUAUCGAACAGGAUUAGAUACCCUGGUA
rnacentral:rRNA from 1 species